rnacentral:lncRNA from 1 species
UUCCAUCACCCUUUCUCCAUCUCGUCCCCAUUCCACUGCUGUUGCAUCCCCAGUCCCCACCCCAUCCCUGGUAUCUUCAAAGGCGCCCUUUCUCCCCUCCCCGGCCCAACCAUUACCUAUCCCUUAUCCUUCACCGUCAUUAACUCCAUCAACCUCAUUUUCUUUGUAGUUAGUUAUAUGUCAACUUCUCCAUGCUCUACUUGAUGGGUGUUGAAGGUGGUGGUGGUGUUUGUGAUGGUGCUUCGUGAUGGGUGAUCACACAAUGGGUGGUUGGGGGUGGUCAGAUAGGAAUAAGGAGAUGAAUUGUUGGGAUUGUUUGGCCAUUUGAGAAAGGAGGCGAUUUUGUAGUGUCAAAUCUGAGAAGGUACGGUGAUUGCCACGACAGAGAAAGAGAAUGUAGAAAAGGGAGAAUCAUGGUAAAUAGGCAAAACCACCCAUUCUAUAUUGGUUCUAAUUCACAAAAGUUAUCAGAUGAUUAGCAUUAUCAACGAAGAUUUAGAAAUGCAGGGCUUGAAUUGAAAAACUAAAAAGUAUAGGGUUCAACUUGUUAAUUGGGUAAGAAACAUAAAUAAA